GUUGUAGACUAUUUCUUAGGAAACAAUCAAUUUAAGCAUGCAAUGUUGUAUGUUAUUAUUUUUAGUUGUAGACUAUUUCUUAGGAAACAAUCAAUUUAAGCAUGCAAUGUUGUAUGUUAUUAUUUUUAGCUGUAGACUAUUUCUUAGGAAACAAUCAAUUUAAGCAUGCAAUGUUGUAUGUUAUUAUUUUUAGUUGUAGACUAUUUCUCAGGAAACAAUCAAUUUAAGCAUGCAAUGUUGUAUGUUAUUAUUUUUAGUUGUAGACUAUUUCUUAGGAAACAAUAAGAUUUGCAUGAUUGUUUUGUUAUUAAAAUUUAAGGAACGCAUACAUUACAUAUAUAUAAAUAUAAAACUUUGACACCAAAUGGAUAAAUGAAAAGAUGUAGUUCGAAUCCGUGUAGUGCUUCACAUUUAGGUUAUAUUACUUAUUAUAACAGUCUCUGUUUCUAUGUUUAACCUUUCUCAUCUAUUAAAUAAAUUUAAAUUUGUUGAAGAUACCAAUUUAAAUUGCUUAAUUUUUUGAGAGAUGUAAAAGUACCAAGCCGGCACGUUGUUCUAGUUAUAUUUAGUCAAAACUUAUUAUUAUAUUUUAACGGCUGUUUGUUCGCGAUGUUUAAAUACUCAGACUCUGUUGUAGGUACUUUACUCUGUAAACUUAAAAUAUUUAUAAAUUUAGAUCGUUCAGUGCUGUCUAUUUGGUAAUGUAAUUGACGUAAUCAUUCUUGAACCAUCAUAAUUGUCGUUCCUUCUAAAGUUUUAGAAUUGUGCUAGUUCAUAUCGCACAUUAUUAUUUGUUUUUAAAGCAUAUAUUUGAACUCUCUGUUGUAAUAAGCCAUAUAACCUAUGUCAUGUUAAAAAAAAAAUUAUAAUGGUGCAAGCGUCUUAACUGAUAUUCGGUGCCUUUUUAUGAUCUAAAUUCAAGAUUGUAAUAGCUUAAUCUAAGAAGACUUAAAGAUGACUCAUUUAACAUCAGAAUCUUACUUAGGAAGGAUAUACCGGUAUGUUAUCCGAAAUAUUCAUAAAUAAUUACAUAUUUAGUUACCAUUUUUUGUAUUUGGUGUUGUUGUGUACACUUUAUAUAUAUAUAUAAAUAUAUAGCUCUACUAUAAUAGACCUUUCGCUGGCCAUGUGUUACCUUUCCUCGUCAGUUUUAAUCUAGCGGCGUACUACCUUACAUGAUAUAUAAGGCAUGAAGAUGUAACACAUGGCCAGCUCUAUUAUAGUAGAGCCCAGGUGGUCAUGUGGUCUAGCGGGACGGCUGCAGUGCAGGCGAUUUGGUGUAACGAUAUCACAGUAGCAUGGGUUCGAAUCCCUGCGAGGGAAAAACCAAAAACUUGCGAAAGCAAAUUGACAGAUCUAACAUUGUUGGGUUGGUGUUUAGACGAGUUGUAUAUGCAUUAUGUACACAGCCAUGUAUCACCAUCAUUGAUGGCGAUCCGAUGGAUACAUCUGUUGUAGAUUUGUCACCGACUCAGACGUACUCAUAUAAAUAUAUUUCUCUAAUUCUAUGGAAAUUUAUCCCUUUUCGAACCCAUUGUAUAAAAAAAUUUAAUAAACGUGUGGUUGCUGGUGAUCUCAGAAGAUCAUUGGAUGAUUUUAAGGGUCAUGACCUUUUUGGCUGACUGGAUGAACCAAAAUAUGAUAACAGGUGUUAAUGAAAUUGACAACUUCGUGCAAUGUGAAAGGCACUCGAAGGGGAUGUCUUUUUAAUCAUUAGAGAAAC
rnacentral:lncRNA from 1 species